GUGCACCAGGCGCGAAACCUUCGCAAUGCGGGAAACCGCGACGAGGGGACUCCCAGUGCCUACGCUCAGCGUAGGCUGUUCCCGAGCCUAGAAAGCUCGGGGAGUAAGGGCUGGGUAAGACGGGUGCCAGCCGCCGCGGUAAUACCCGCAGCCCGAGUGGUGGCCACUAAUUAUUGGGCCUAAAGCGUCCGUAGCCGGCCCGGUAAAUGCCUGGGUAAAUCGUGAGGCCUAACCUCACGAAUUCCGGGUAGACUGCCGGGCUAGGGACCGGAGGAGGGAGAGGGGUACUCCAGGGGUAGGGGUGAAAUCCUGUAAUCCCUGGAGGACCACCGGUGGCGAAGGCGCUCUCCUAGGACGGGUCCGACGGUGAGGGACGAAAGCCAGGGGAGCGAACCGGAUUAGAUA
rnacentral:rRNA from 1 species